rnacentral:ncRNA from 1 species
CUCUGGGCACGCAUGAGGUUCAGGGCAAAAAGAG